rnacentral:rRNA from 1 species
UACGAAGGUCCCAAGCGUUAUCCGGAUUUAUUGGGUUUAAAGGGUGCGUAGGCGGACUGUUAAGUCAGUGGUGAAAGCUCCAUGCCUAACAUGGAAAUUGCCAUUGAUACUGACGGUCUUGAGUACAUUUGAAGUGGGCGGAAUGUGUCAUGUAGCGGUGAAAUGCUUAGAUAUGACACAGAACACCGAUUGCGUAGGCAGCUCACUAAACUGUAACUGACGCUGAGGCACGAAAGCGUGGGGAGCAAACAGGA